GACGAACGCUGGCGGCGUGCCUAACACAUGCAAGUCGAGCGGACAGACGGGACCUUGCUCUCUGAUGUUAGCGGCGGACGGGUGAGUAACACGUGGGUAACCUGCCUGUAAGACUGGGAUAACUCCGGGCAACCGGGGCUAAUACCGGAUGGUUGUCUGAGCCGCAUGGUUCAGAUAUGAAAGGUGGCUUCGGCUACCACUUACAGAUGGACCCGCGGCGGAUUAGGUAGUUGGUGAGGUAACUGCUCAUCAAGGCAACGACGCGUAGCCGGCCUGAGAGGGUGGAUGGCCACCCUGGGACGGAGACAAGGCUCAGACUGCUUCGGGAGGGAGCAAGAGGGGAACUUGCGACAUGGGGGGAAAACCGGAGGCAGACCGCCGGGGGAGGGAUGAAGGUUUUCGGGUCGUAAAGGUCUGUUGUUGGGGAAGAAAAAGCGGCGUUCAAAUACGGCGGCGUCUUGACGGUACCUAGUCAGAAAGCAACGGCUAACUACGUG
rnacentral:rRNA from 1 species